rnacentral:rRNA from 1 species
CCUACGGGUGGCAGCAGUAGGGAAUAUUGCUCAAUGGGGGAAACCCUGAAGCAGCCACGCCGCGUGGAGGAUGAAGGUUUUCGGAUUGUUAACUCCUUUUGUUAGAGAAGAAAAUGACGGUAUCUAACGAAUAAGCACCGGCUCACUCCGUGCCAGCAGCCGCGGUAAUACGGAGGGUACCAGCGUUACUCGGAAUCACUGGGCGUAAAGAGCGCGUAGGCGGGAUAGCAAGUCAGAUGUGAAAUCCUAGGGCUUAACCAUAGAACUGCAUUUGAAACUGUUAUUCUAGCGAAUGGGAGAGGUAGGUGGAAUGCUUGGUGUAGGGGUAAAAUGCGUAGAGAUCAAGCGGAAUACUCAUUGCGAAGGCGACCUGCUAGAACAUAACUGACGCUGAGGCGCGAAAGCGUGGGGAGCAAACAGGAUUAGAUACCCUAGUAGUC